rnacentral:lncRNA from 1 species
AAUUUUUAAAAUAUAACCGUUAAUAUUUAUCAAAUAAUUUAAUUUAAUCUCAAUUUCAAACGCACCCAUAAUUCCAUCAGAAAUUGAAAUACAACGUAAAACAUCAAUGUGAAAAUUGGAGAAAAAUAAAGCGUAGUGUCGUAGUGAUGAUUGAGCAUGAAGUGAAAAGCAUUUUAUGUGGGAUUUGGAUUUGGGACUGGAAACGAGCAAAGGCGGAAGGCAUCAACUUUUGAAAAGCCCCAUCAUUAUCAUUACUGCUGCGGACAAAAUGUGACAAAAAGAGAUAUUGCGUACAGUGGCCUAUGGCCCACGGACAGGGAGGAUCAAAGUACUAUCAAGGUCUUAGUGUUUAUUUAGUAUGACUUAUUUAAGAGUUACAAGGACUUAUUUAAUGUAUAA